GGGCCGCCCGGCGGGGCGGGAGCGCGGCGGGCCGGGAGGAGAGCUCGGCGUGAGGGGAGCGGGGCCGGCAGCCUGGGGAGCUGUCUGUCUGCUCCUGCCUCGGCAUCCAGGGCCGCUCGGAGCAGCAGUGGCGUCCGUCAUCGGCCUCCACACGGAUACAGCCUUUGCAGAGCACCCGGAAGCGAGAGGAACAGAUAGAAGUCGUUAAGAUUGCAGCAAGCACCAGAAUUCUUCACCUCCUCCUACCACUAAAACCCAGCCAUGGGCAUCUUCACUCCCCUGCAGCCUUCAAACACACCACACACAGCCCAAAGGAGAGAAAGAAAGAAGAUAAACCAGGAGAGAAGGAAGCAGCAAAGAAGAAAU